rnacentral:lncRNA from 10 species
AGGCCCGGCUGGUGCUUCUCUGGGCGCCGCUGAAAGCCCAGCUCCGCAGGAGCUACAGGCGUGAGACCCACCGGGACCCGCGAGCGGGAUCAGGGCUGGGGGAUUAGCAGAGCCGCUUGCGAGGCUGACCCUCUCCAGGAUGCCCCAUGUAAACCUGGAUGUCAGUUUCUGACGCUUUAGCUUAAACCCAAAAGCCAAUCUGAGCGAACUCUUGCUUCCCUCGCCUGCCGGGCUGAACCCAAAGGCGCAUUAGCCCAGUGCGGCUGCUUCAUUCUUGAGCUAAGACCGCCGGCGGCGUCUGCGCCUCCGCGAGUCCGCUGUCAGGUCCAGCUGGUGUAGAGAGAGUUGAAAUCUCACUUUGGGCCGGGCGCGGUGGCUCACGUCUGUAAUCCUAGAACUUUUGGGAGGUCGAGGCAGGCGGAUCACUUGAAGUCAGGAGUUCGAGACCAGGCUGGCUAACAUAAUGAAACCCCUGUCUCUACUAAAAAUACAAAAAUUGAUCGGGCAUGGUGGCGCGCGCCUGUAAUCCCAGCUACUCAGGAGGCUGAGGCGGGAGAAUCACUUGAACCUGAGAGGCAGAGAUUGCAGUGAGCUGAGAUCAUGCCACUGCACUCCAGCCUGGGCAACAGAGUGAGACUCCGUCUCAAAAAAAAAAAAAAAAAACCACGAAAAAAGAAAUAUGAUUGGACCAGAAGGCCAAUAACCUGAGUGGGGAAACCCAGCAAGUCCUGUCCGUGUAGAUUCUUCUUGACCUUUCUCUGCAGCAUUCCUUCCUUCUGAGUACGGGGCAGGACUCUCUCUGGGAUGGAGGGGUCUUAGGACCUGCAAGCAAACAAGACUCAGCCCACCUGCACUGAGGUGAAAUAAACAGCUUUAUUGCUCACACAAAGCCUGUUGGUGGACUCUCUUCACAUUGAUGCGCGUGACAUUUUGUGCUGUGACUUGGAUUGGGGGCCCUUCCUUGGGAGAUCAAUCCCCUGUCCUCCUGCUCUUUGCUCCAGGAGAAAGAUCCACCACGACCUUGGGUCUUCGGACCAACCAGCCCAAGGAACAUCUCACCAAUUUUAAAUCGGGUAAGCGGCCUCUUUUUACUCUCUUCUCCAACCUCUCUCACUAUCCCUCAACCUCUUUCUCCAUUCAGUCUUGGCACCAUCCUUCAAUCUCUC